AUUUAUCUAAAAUCUUAAGAAAAAUCCGAUAUAGUGUGAACAGCAUGAGAAAUUCCCACCAACCAAGAAGCUAAUUGAACAUCAAAGUUCGAAGCUUCGUUUGUAACUUCCUUAGCAAUGAAGUCGGGACUGGCUAGUUUGGUAAUAUUCACGGUCUUCAUUCAGCUCGUGUCUAUCGGUUUUCAAGCCAGCACUCGUCUACCAUUUCUGAUAAAUACUCAAACUCUGGAACCAUAUCAAUACGUCACCGUAACAGGUUAAAAUGCUCUUGCCAUCCCAUUUUCAUCGAUUCGAUUUCUGUUUUAUUUCUUGGAAUCUUGGUAUCAAAUGACAUGCAAGAAUAAGCAGAUGAUGGACUCACUUUGUGCAUUGAAAAUGUUUAUUUUUGCAUCUCAAUCAUAGGAUGUAACAAUAACUGUGAUAUAGCUUGCUGUUAUUGUGAUAUAAGAAAACAGCCUCCGCUUUGUGUCCAGUGCUGCAGAGAAGGCCUUUGAUUCCUAGGUAUGUGUCAUUUCUCCAUACAUUUUUUUUCCUCUGUUUACCAACACCUAAGUUACACGAAACCGAAACGAAAACGAGAAACGAAAUGCCACAUGAUACUUAAAAAUGUUAGAUUUUAUAAAAGUAAGACACAAAAUAUUGUGAAAACGUUGUACAAGAAAUAUUAAUUAAUUUUAUAACUUAAUAGCUAAUUAAAAAAGGUUAUUUAAAAUAAUUCAAACUCUAAUCACUUUUAAAUUUCUUGUAGUAUGAGAAUUAAAGCUAAAUAUUAUGUAAUACAUUUUUGUUCAAACCUGAAGACAAAAAGUUCAUGAUAAUAUGCAAUUCUUAAUCCAAGUUAUAAAAUAUUUUGAUCGAAAGUUUCCUCAAGUUUAUCGAAUAAUAUUGAAAUUUAACAAGUAUUAGCCUAUGCUUGGAAAGUGUUUAUAAACAUUUUAAAUUAUUAAUAUUUUUUAACUAAUUAAUUUUUAUCCACGCAUUUUUAGGAUCUACAAGUACCAUGCAUUUCUCAACCUGUCAUUUGAAGUGUCUUCCAAACAUACUCUCAGAAAAUUAUUUUAGGGUUUCUAUAUUAUUUUCUAAGAGUUUUGAUUUUCGAAAUGUACUCAAGAAAAUGUUAGCACUUUAGAAGUUUCCAGGCAUCCUUGCCCAAUAUGGAGAUGAGAGUAGUACAGUCUAGAAAAGAUCCUUUCAAGAGAUUAAGCGUUCCUUUCACCAUUUCUUCCAAAUAAAAUCGAGCAUGUAUCUUACACAGACGAGUAUGUAAAUCUAGAAGAAUUAACUUGUAUCUUUGAAUGGACUGUCACUAUUUAUGCAGGGUGAUCUGCCAAAGAAGGAAAAAAAGAAAAAAGAAAAAAGAAAUGCAGUUCGAGAAGAAAGCAAUCAUGGAUCAAACGUGGGAAACAUAUUCUUUCUUUCGAAGUUUUACUCUCUAAGACAAACUUAAUUUAGACCAAUAAAAAUCAGGCUUGUAAUUAUUUUUAUUUUUAUUUUAAAAUUUUCUUGUGUCUAUUCCAGCAUCAAAGAAUAACCAUGUUCUGAUUAAACUACUAGUCUUAAAACAAGUGAAUUGAGAUUUUGUAUGUCCAUCCUUCGUGUUUUAUGGAUAGUUUUGUUUGUCGGGUCCUAAUUGAUUAUCGAACAAACAAUGCACAACCCUAUCAUAGUGAAAGUUAAUCGUGACUUUUGAAGAAUUGAGAAAUCGGAAAGAAAAAAAUAUACAUGACGUAGAACUUGUUCUUGAAAAACUAGAGAGUAUAGAGAAAUUGGAAGAGGAG
rnacentral:lncRNA from 1 species